rnacentral:tRNA from 1 species
CGCGGCCUGUCGGGGUGCAACGGCGGUACUGCCGCCGUCGGGUUCCGGUUUGGGUUCGGGGGCCGUGGCC